GCAAGUUUAGUCCAGCUGACAGUUUCUUCCAGAGGAAAGCAGACACAGGGAGCACACAAAGGUCCUGCUAUCACGUUGCAGAACAGAGGCCAAGGGAGACAGGAGGAGGAUGAGGUGAUGGAAUCAGUACUCCAAAGACCUAGGAACUAAGACAAUUUCCUUCCCCUCUCUGUGCCUACAUUUUCUCAUCUAUAAAAUGAAAACAUUGUACUUGGGGAAGUCUAAGAGACCUCUCAGCUAAAAGAGUUUAUGUCCUAUGGUCCAAAAAGAAGGUAUCCUUGAAAUUCAUUUGAACUGAGGUAAAACAGAAAGGGAUGAAGCUUGGAAAUAAUGGAACAGAAAUUAACAAGUAUUGAAGACAAAAAAAGUCAGCUUUGAGUAUACAAUAAAAAGAGCCCAUAAACUGAUUGCCCCAUAGAAAUCAAUGAAAUGAAAUCACCAGACCAGCCAGAGACAUGAUGCUGGCAUAUUCAGCCGAGUGGUCAAUGGAGCCUUUAGCACAUCCCAGCUUGUUCUUAUGGACAUUUUUCUGAAGGCAUCUAUCAGUUUUUUUAAAAGAAAAAAAAAGUAGCCCAAGUUUUUCCAUUAAAAGAAUAAAGAAUGUAUCCCAGCCUAAUCUGAGAAACUUAGCAUGAAAAUCCUCUUAUCUUUGUCACUUCUAAUAGCAGACAUUGCUCAGUUAUUCAACUGCUGUCUUGACCUCUGGAUGGUUGGAGGAGCAGAACCAAUUAUCUUCGAAGUAAAGCAUACCAACAAACUCAUUCGAAAUCAUUUUGUCAAUCUCUGUUUUCUAAUGCUAUAUAAAGAAAAGCUUUGAAUGGUGCUGAAUCCUGGAAAGAACCAUGGACAUUUUGGAGUCAAGAAAACACUGGCUGGAGUUCAAGGCCAAGAUUUUGGAUCAGCUGCCACCAUAAUUUUUCAGAAAUGUGAUGACUGUUCCUCAAGAAAUAGUUUCCUAAGUAGGCUGCAGGAAUGUCUCCUGUACGUACUCGAAAGGGAUUUAAAGAAUGAAGCCCUUGGGGACCCACCAGUGCAGCUGAGUUACCAUGGACUUUUCGAGCGAAGGGUGAGAAGUCCAAGUUGCAUCACAAAUCCUCCUCACCAAAUGUAGUGAAGGAAUUAGAGUGGCUUCUGAUGGAGCUAGGACAUGCUGGACUCUGCAUCUUCUACAUGAUAGAUGAGCACAAUGAUAUAUAAUAAAAUCUGUCUAGAUAACCUACAUAGAACUUCUCUUUUCUUCAUUGCAAGAUCUGUGCUAAACUAAACAGUGUAAGCUCCUGCAAUGCCCAGUAUCCUAUUUGAAUGUAAUGAUAACGAAGAGGACAGUCAUGUGAAACUCUAAACUAUGCUCCAGCUCUCGAGAGGGCCACUGAAGUCCUGAUUUCUCUCAUUUUCUCUUUAUUGUCUAUUUCCAAUCCUUUAUUUGUAUAUCACAAAGCAUCACUCAUACUUCAAAAAUUCAGAGGAUUGGCCAGGUAUGGUGGCUUGCACCCAUAAUCCCAGCACUUUGGGAGUCCAAGGCGGGUGGAUCAUGAGGUCAAAAGAUCAAGACUAUCCUGGCCAACAUGGUGAAACUCUGUCUCUACUAAAAAUACAAAAAUUAGCUGGGCGUGGUGGCAUUCACCUGUAGUUCCAGCUACUUUGGAAGCUGAGGCGGGAGAAUCGCUUGAACUCGGGAGGCAGAAGUUACAGUGAGCCAAGAUCACAGUACUGCACUCCAGCCUGGUGACAGAGCAAGAUUCCAUCUCACACACACACACAAAAUUCAGAGGAUCAUCCCAAGUUGAAUACCCAAGCCUAUGACUUAGCAUGAAGAACAUUCCCUACUCUUUUUUAUUUAGUGUACUAUUGCAACUAAACACUCUGUAAUUAAUACCGUAUAUUGUGGUUGUCAAGGGAAAGAUUUACAACGUACCUAACUGAGGUCCUAACAUAGAAAAGAAGAUAAACUUCAGGUAAUGGAAGAUUGGGUGUGAAAUAGAAUCUGUGUUGAGUCAGAAAUACUAUUCUGGAAUCACAGCUAUAGUGCCUCGGGAGACAUUGAGCAUGCUCAGCCAAUAGGGAGGAAGAGAGAAAACGUUAGUGCUUCAAGGGCAGUAGUUGCACCAUGCAGAUCAUAUCCUGAAAAGAUUAGAUAAGACAUUAAUUUAUUGGGCCGUGUGCGGUGGCUCAUGCCUAUAAUCUCAGCACUUUGGGAGUUCGAGGUGGAUGGAUCAUUUGAGGUCAGGAGUUCAAGACCAGCCUGGUUUCAUGGUGAAACAUCAUCUCUACUAAAAAUACAAAAAAAUUGGCUGGACAUGGUGGUGAGCACCUGUAGUCCCAACUACUCAGGAGGUUAAGCAGGAGAACCUCUUGAACCUGGGAUGCGGAGGUUGCAGAAAGUGGGGAUCACACCACUGCACUCCAACCUGGGAGACAGAGCAACGUUCCAACUAAAAAAAAAGACAUUAAUUUAUUAUCAAUUAUUACAUUUCUUUUAGAAAUUGUAUAGGAAUAAAAUUAAGUAUAUUCAAAUAGGAUAUUUUAAAAGAUAGCAUCUGAUCUCUGAAGGUUUAUAUAGUUAACACAAACGAUUUCCAAAGUGGAAGCUGAUGCUGAAUUCUUCAUUCUAUUUAGAAAAUUAUAAUCAUUAU
rnacentral:lncRNA from 1 species